GAAAUACACAUCACCCGACAAAUUUGGAAAGAUACGGAGAAGAUUAGCAUGGCUCUAUGCAAGAAUGACAAACACACAUCGAGAAAUGGUCCAAAAUUUU
rnacentral:snRNA from 1 species